GAUGAACGCUGGCGGCGUGCCUAAUACAUGCAAGUCGAGCGAACAGACGAGGACCUUGCUCCUCUGACGUUAGCGGCGGACGGGUGAGUAACACGUGGAUAACCUACCUAUAAGACUGGGAUAACUUCGGGAAACCGGAGCUAAUACCGGAUAAUAUAUUGAACCGCAUGGUUCAAUAGUGAAAGACGGUUUUGCUGUCACUUAUAGAUUGAUCCGCGCCGCAUUAGCUAGUUGGUAAGGUAACGGCUUACCAAGGCAACGAUGCGUAGCCGACCUGAGAGGGUGAUCGGCCACACUGGAACUGAGACACGGUCCAGACUCCUACGGGAGGCAGCAGUAGGGAAUCUUCCGCAAUGGGCGAAAGCCUGACGGAGCAACGCCGCGUGAGUGAUGAAGGUCUUCGGAUCGUAAAGCUCUGUUAUUAGGAAAGAACAAAUGUGUAAGUAACUGUGCACGUCUUGACGGUACCGGAUCAAAAAGCCACGGCUAACUACGUG
rnacentral:rRNA from 1 species